AAAAAUGGCUGGCAGGUGUUGCGUCGAGGAGUUCACUCUCCCGUACUAGGUUAUUAAGGUGAUGUCACAAGUGAUCCAGUCUGUGGGGACCAACGCAUUCGGCUGAGGAGAUCCGGACUCUUAUUACGGAAAUUCCGGUCAGCUGACCUCAACCAGAAACUGAACUGGACUCCUUUAUCUGAGACAGAGGGCGCUGUUUCUGAAAUGAGUGACUCUGAGCCUGAGGCUGACACUGGAACCCCCAGCAAUAAUAAUGAGGGUGUCCAGCUGGAAAGAGCAAUGUCACCUCUUCCCAGCUGCCUCUCAAUGAAGAGUGACAGCUCAAUGUAUCACCCCAUGAACUUCAAAGGAGAA